rnacentral:rRNA from 1 species
AUAACCCGUCGAAAGGCGGACUAACUCCCCAUGGUCUCCGAUGAGGACAUCCGAAUUGGAGUAAAGCUUCGCGGACAUGGAUGGGGAUGCGUCUGAUUAGGUAGUAGGCGGGGUAACGGCCCACCUAGCCUACGAUCAGUAGGGGUUCUGAGAGGAAGGUCCCCCACAUUGGAACCGAGACACGGUCCAAACUCCUACGGGAGGCAGCAGUGAGGAAUAUUGGUCAAUGGACGAGAGUCUGAACCAGCCAAGUAGCGUGCAGGAUGACGGCCCUAUGGGUUGUAAACUGCUUUUGCGCGGGGAUAACACCCUCCACGUGCUGGGGGUCUGCAGGUACCGCGCGAAUAAGGACCGGCUAAUUCCGUGCCAGCAGCCGCGGUAAUACGGAAGGUCCGGGCGUUAUCCGGAUUUAUUGGGUUUAAAGGGAGCGUAGGCCGUGAGGUAAGCGUGUUGUGAAAUGUAGGCGCCCAACGUCUGCACUGCAGCGCGAACUGCCCCACUUGAGUGCGCGCAACGCCGGCGGAACUCGUCGUGUAGCGGUGAAAUGCUUAGAUAUGACGAAGAACCCCGAUUGCGAAGGCAGCUGGCGGGAGCGUAACUGACGCUGAAGCUCGAAAGCGCGGGUAUCGAACAGGAUUAGAUACCCUGGUAGUCCGCGCGGUAAAC